rnacentral:rRNA from 1 species
GAUGAACGCUAGCGGCAGGCCUAAUACAUGCAAGUCGGACGGGAUUCAGGAGCUUGCUUCUGAUGAGAGUGGCGCACGGGUGCGUAACACGUAUGUAACCUACCUUUAUCAGGGGGAUAGCCUCUCGAAAGAGAGAUUAAGCCCGCAUAAAAUCACAGCACAGCAUUGUGUAAUGAUCAAAUAUUUAUAGGAUAAAGAUGGGCAUGCGGAACAUUAGCUAGAUGGCGGGGUAACGGCCCACCAUGGCGACGAUGUUUAGGGGAUCUGAGAGGAUGGCCCCCCACACUGGUACUGAAACACGGACCAGACUCCUACGGGAGGCAGCAGUAAGGAAUAUUGGUCAAUGGGCGGAAGCCUGAACCAGCCAUGCCGCGUGCAGGAAGACGGCCCUACGGGUUGUAAACUGCUUUUAUACGGGAAUAAACCCAGAUACGUGUAUCUGGCUGAAUGUACUGUAAGAAUAAGGAUCGGCUAACUCCGUG